rnacentral:rRNA from 1 species
UGCAUAUCCAAAAAGCGGAGGAAAAGAAACCAACAGGGAUUGCCUCAGUAACGGCGAGUGAAGCGGCAAAAGCUCAAAUUUGAAACCCUCGGGAUUGUAAUUUGAAGAUUUGGCAUUGGAGAAAGCUAACCCAAGUUGCUUGGAAUAGUACGUCAUAGAGGGUGACAACCCCGUCUGGCUAACCGUUCUCCAUGUAUUGCCUUAUCAAAGAGUCGAGUUGUUUGGGAAUGCAGCUCAAAGUGGGUGGUAAACUCCAUCUAAAGCUAAAUACUGGUGAGAGACCGAUAGCGAACAAGUACUGUGAAGGAAAGGUGAAAAGAACUUUGAAAAGAGAGUGAAAUAGUAUGUGAAAUUGUUGAUAGGGAAGGAAAUGAGUGGAGAGUGGCCGAGGUUUCAGCCGCCCCUCGUGGGCGGUGUACUGCCGACGCCGAGUCAUCGAUAGCGAGACGAGGGUUACAAAUGGGAGCGCCUUUCGGGCGUUCUCCCCUAACCCUCCACACUGCCACCGACGACAUAAUCCACCCAUUUCACCCGUCUUGAAACCACGGACCA